GACGAACGCUGGCGGCGUGCUUAACACAUGCAAGUCGAACGAGAAAGCCCUUCGGGGUAAGUACAGUGGCGAACGGGUGAGUAACACGUGGGCAACCUGCCCCAGAGAGCGGGACAACCCGGGGAAACCCGGGCUAAUACCGCAUGAUGCGUCUCCACUUAAGUGGAGCCGCCAAAUGGUAGCUUCGGCCUCCGCUCUGGGAUGGGCCCGCGCCGGAUUAGCUAGUUGGUUGGGGUAACGGCCCACCAAGGCGACGAUCCGUAGCUGGUCUGAGAGGACGAUAAGCCACACUGGGACUGAGACACGGCCCAGACUCCUACGGGAGGCAGCAGUGGGGAAUCUUGCGCAAUGGGCGAAAGCCUGACGCAGCAACGCCGCGUGGGGGAAGAAGGCCUUCGGGUUGUAAACCUCUUUCAGUAGGGACGAAGCUUCCGGGGUUAAUAGCCUACGGGGUGACGGUACCUACAGAAGAAGCCCCGGCUAACUACGUGCCAGCCGCCGCGGUAA
rnacentral:rRNA from 1 species